rnacentral:tRNA from 1 species
AUUUAAGUAGCUUAAAGAGCGUUGUAUUGAAGCUACGAAGGAAGAUUUUAUCUCUUAAAUA